ACUUUUCAUUCGGUGCCUAAUACCCAUAAACCCACAGGAGAUGACUGCGAGGAACGCAAGCGGCUCUGUCCUUCUCCUAGAAGCCUCCGUGGUGGAUUUUGGACUCCUCUGAGGAUUCUGCCAUUCUGAAGCUGGAGAUGACAAGUAAAGUGUGGGAGUCUUACAGUGACAUGCCAAAUAUGGUUGGGGACUACACAUUUUCGCUCCGAGAACCUGGUUGAGAAACACUGUAUUAAAUCGCCCUUCAUGAUUUUGUGGUGGUACCUGUAGGAGGCAAAGGGGACUGCAUUUUAAACAGCUUAGCUGUUAUGCACUUUCAAUGAAGGUGAGGACUGAGUACAUGUCUUUAUUCAUGUGAUAUAUUUCUCAGGAACCUUUUCUCAGAGUUCUGUCAAGGAUUCAAGGAUUUUAUUUGUCAUAUGCAAGCUGUAACCUGCAGUGAAAUGAAGCGUUGUCAGCUCCACCAUAAUAAUUAUAUAGAAUGCAAUAGACAUAAGUUCCAAUAUAAUAAACACAUAAUAAAUAAGGAUCAGAAAGGUACUCUGAUAAAAAUGACUGGAGGAGUAUGUUGUGCAAUUGACCCUUCCACAUAGAUGGGAUUAGGGAUGCAGGGUCCCCUCAGUCUAAAAAAAAGUGUAAAAUAUUUUUGCCCCCCCGAGCAAAAUGAGCAUGCAAGCACAGCAAAGUGAAAAAAUACGAGAAAUGUGACAUACUGCGAGAUGCCUGGCUGCUGUAAAAAUGCUUGGCAUCCUCCAAACCAACACUGUACAUUUGUUUAAUGCAUUUAUGAGUUACUAGAUUUUUGUGUCUGCUGGGCUUUGCUUGUCAUCUGUGGCUUUUGGAAAACUCCUAAAUUGUCAUUUAAUUUCUUAUGCUGAACCCAUGGGAUGGAGUAGUGGCUCUGAGGUAGGGCUGGACAAUAAUUCGAUAUCAAUAUAUAUCGCGAUGGAAUUCUCUUCAAUAACGGUGAUACGAUUUUUAAACACAUUUCCGAUAUUUCGAUAUACCUUUGAAUAUAUAUAAUUAUAAUUAAAGGUUUGUAUCGAGAAACGACAGUGGUUUUUAUUGUAUACUGGUAAAUCUCUGCUGUUAGUUGGUGGUAUGCCUUUUGUUAGCCAACAUGUAUGUCGGGGCCGGCUCUACGCUGGGGCAAGAGGGGGCAACGCCCCAUUAAGCAAACGUCCUGCCCCCUUAAAUCAAACUUUUAGAAGUUGAGGAAGAAAAUAAUAAUUACCCACAAACUGAAUAUGGACAAGAUUUACUACAGUAGCUGAAAAAUCCACUGAAAAAGGCACAAACGAGAUGAUAAGUUUCACUUCUUGUUCGCUCUUUCCCUCCGCGUUCUGUUUGUGCGCGGGCUCACACAGCACUCAGCAGAGAUCCCCCACUCACCCUCCCCCCAGCUAAACAUCCAAUCACUGUUAGUA